rnacentral:lncRNA from 1 species
CACAGGCAGCCAGAUGGUAGCAAGGCCUGGUACGGUGACAGAGGAAGAGGAUGAGCACGGGAUGUUGUCAAACGAAGACCUACUUUCUCUGGGUCUCCGCUAAAGACUGCGUUCACGUCCACCUGGAUCUGACCUGGUGUGGUCUCAUGUUCACACUCACCACCAACCUGGCCAUCUGGAUGGCGGCCGUGGUGGAUGAAUCUGUGCACCAAUCCCACUCCUACAGCAGUUCUCACAGCAACGCC